UUUAAGUGCAACCAUAAGUUUUCGUGUCCAAUUUUAAUUGUCCGUAUUAUUUGAAAUUUUUUAUAAUUAGUAUUUUAUUGUUAUGAGAUGAUAAAACAUGAAUAAUACUUUAUGCAUGACUUAUGUUUUUAAAUUUUUUCAAAGAAAAUCUUAAAUAAGAUAGAUAAUCAAAGUUGGAUACGGAAAAUCAUGGUUGUGGUUAAA
rfam:Oryza rufipogon genomic scaffold, chr12